AGUGUGGCGAGCUCCUUUCCAUUCCCACGCUUCAUACAAACAAUGUCAUAAAUUCACUUUUAUUGCAUCCUACAUGCCCGCACUUAUCGGUUCUAUCCUUCCAGGAGAGAACCCGAUUAGAACAUUAAAUAAAAGGACAUAUAAACGAUGCGUGGGAACGUAAACGCGAAAGCCAAACCAUAGAAGAAUGCGUGAGAACUGCAGCUCACGCAGGAUAGCACAUACAGACAUAUUACAUAUGUCUGUUCCUUUUUAUGUAAUCUGAAGUGCCUUCUAUGUAGGAGGGUUGCUUAUGCGUGUGUAUGAGCAACCCAAGUAGGGUAAUGAUAAGUUAGAUUUUAGAAAAUAAACCAGUCUACAAUAACGAUUCAAAAGGAGCAGUUCGUCAAUUGAAAGAAACUCCUACAUUGGUGGCAGCGGAAAAGUACUUUAGUGGUACAGGCAAUUUUAUUUUAGUUUGCAAAAAAUAGUGAAACAUUAGAAAAUAGUGUGUUAUUUUUGACGUGGCUGCAUGAAUAGUAACAGGUCUUGACAGAAGUCGAAAACGUGAAGUGAUUAAACGUCUCAGCGACUACUGUGGAAAAAGACGCAGCUUAUCAUUUAAGUUGGAGAAGGCUGAUAUCUUGGAAAAGAUAGUUAAGCACCUUGAAAAUCUGUCAAUGCUGGUGUUGAAUCCAAGGCGCGCAGCUUUCAUCAGUUCAGCCACACCCAGGCAUAUGUCAACAUCUGUAUACGAUCGAAUGGCAACCAACCGUUGGUGUAGCAGCUGAAUGCGGAAUAGAAUUCUCCAGCCCAUAUUGGAAUCAAAAAACAACGUCAACGUACCAGACACCGAGCUAAGUUAAAACAAGUGACCAAGUUUUGGAACCAGUGGCCAAGUUGAAGGCAAGUGAAAAAAAAGCCAAGGAGAUUACGUUGAAAGUGCUGAGGACAGCAAACCAUCGAAGCCCUGCAGAGGAACAACAUAGUCACCCUGAGAAGAGAAACAGCGAAGCCACCCCAGUUCGAGACAACCUUGGACAACGUUGAUUUAACGAACAGCAGGAAUGAAACUCUAUAUUAUUCUACAAUUGUUUGUGUCAACUCUAGCCCUAUUACCUAUUGAAAAUAUUCCAUUAUACAAUCAUGGAAUUAUUUAUGAAAAUUUGAAAAGUGUGAAACUUGAAUUGGGUCAAUGGACAAUAAGGUCCACUUACGACCUUCAAAAGGUCCAAAUGGAAUUGAAGACUAUGGAAACCUUUCAAGAUAUGUUGUUGACUGCUUGUGGAAAAUUGGAUUCUGGUAUGGGGAUCGAUUGUAAACGUAUACAAACGGAACAAAUAAUGAUAUCAUCUGAAUUUUUUGGUUUAAGUAAUAUUGUAAAUUCACACUGUGAAAAUUACAAUAAGACACUGGAAAAUAGUCGUGUUAAACGUCAAAUAGAUUUUCUUGGUCACAUUUUUAAGGAAAUUACUGGUGUGAUGGAUCAUGAUGAUUCACGUAGGAUAGAUGACGACAUUAAAAACCUUCGUGCAAAUGAAGACAGUUUAGUUAAUCAGUUGCAAAAACAAACUAUUGCAAUUGACUCCAUUUUUGAAAUUUCGAAUAAAACAUUUUCGAAAGUCAAUGAUAAACUUAACGCUUUUAGUGCUGCUAUUGAUAUCUAUAAUAAACGCAGUAAGGAGGAACUUGUUAAAAAUAUGGUUAGAAAUCAAUUCACAGAAUUGAUGGGAGAACUUAAUAUGAUAGUAACUCAUCUCUUCAAGAAAAGGAUGUAUUUCUUUCCUUAUUGGCAACAGGAAAUAUUCCUCUCACUCCCGAAAUAUAUGAGCCUGAAAAACUUUUAGCAGAGUUGAUUAAGGUAGAAAAAUUCUUCCACUUGGGUUCAUGUUCCCUGUGCAGAUAAAUUUUAGAAAUAUAAUGAAAAUAUAUGGUAUUAGUUCUGUUUCAUCUGAAGUUGGAAACUGCCAUGUUGAGGUUAGUAUUAAGGUUCCUAUUACCAACCGAUUAACAUAUAAAGCUUUUAAGGGAACCAGUGUUCCUAUUAUGAAAAAUGGUAAAUUUUAUGUAACAUCAUUUGAAAAUGAUGUAAUUCUUAAAUCAGAAAAUUCCAGCUUAGGUUCAAGUUUAACAUACAAGAACUACAAAAUGUGUAAAAUGGUGCAAGAUUUUAGAUUAUGCUCCUCAUUUCAUUUACUUCAAAAUUUCACAUCAUCUGAAGAUUGUAAUGUUCAAACUUUUUUGAAUCUGUCGACAAAUGCAUGUGUUUCACAACCUUUGAAUUUGAAGCACCAACUUUGGAUUCAAAUGGUCAAUCCAAAUUCAUGGAUUUAUGCAAUCCCUAAUAUGACAAAACUUGCCAUAUUUACAAACGGUAAAUCAAAGGCUUUUGAACUAUCUGGAAUUGGUAAUUUAAGAAUCAAUUCACCUUGUUUAAUACAAUCAGGAGAAAUUUUUCUGCACUACUAUCCUAAAGACAUUAGUGUAACACAAUCUGAUUAUUUUAAAAUCGAUUUUUUUCCAUUCUCCAAAAGAAAUUAAAUUAUUGGAUGACAAAGUUCCUGACACACUUAAACAUAGUGUCUUCACAAGUGUAAAUGAAAAGGAUUUUUUUAACGAGAUUGUAAAUCUGCAAAACUUGAAUUCUAACAAAAUUCAAUUGCUUGAUGUAACGUUAGAAAAGCAUACUCUCAGUAUAUGGAUUAUUUUGCUGUGUAUAUUACUUGCUGUUGGAAUAUUUUAUUUAAUUUUCAAAUAUAGAUUUCUUUUGAAAAUCAAAUCUUGUGGGUGGAGAAGAGCAGCGAAUCGUUCUACUGAUAGUCAGCUAGAAAUAGAGUUCAAAAAUAUUCAACCUCUGAUAGACAAUGUACAAAUUAAACAGUCUUUUAAGGAUGAUGAUCAAAUUCAACAAAAAUCAACGGAAAUAGAUAUGAUUCAAGGUAGUUCCAAAAACAACAAAGUAGAAAAAAAGUCAAAAUCUUGUAAAAUAUAUAUGAAAAAUUAAUAUAAUUGUACAGAUUACAUGUUCCUAUAUUAUUUCUUUUUCACGAAAAUUCUACGUAUUGAAAUAAGAUAAUAGUUAGAUGAAAAGUGUAAUAAAAACAUAUUUCAACUUUAUGCAAUAUAAUUAUUAAAAUAUUUGUAACAAAGACAACAUUCUUUAAAGCACUUAUGAGUAAAAAAAAUAAUAGUAAAUAAAUAAAUAUAUUUAACAUAUUUUUUUUUCGAAAGGGGGGAGUAAUGUGGCGAGCUCCUUUCCAUUCCCACGCUUCAUACAAACAAUGUCAUAAAUUCACUUUUAUUGCAUCCUACAUGCCCGCACUUAUCGGUUCUCUCCUUCCAGGAGAGAACCAGAUUAGAACAUUAAAUAAAAGGACAUAUAAACGAUGCGUGGGAACGUAAACGCGAAAGCCAAACCAUAGAAGAAUGCGUGAGAACUGCAGCUCACGCAGGAUAGCACAUACAGACAUAUUACAUAUGUCUGUUCCUUUUUAUGUAAUCUGAAGUGCCUUCUAUGUAGGAGGGUUGCUUAUGCGUGUGUAUGAGCAACCCAAGUAGGGUAAUGAUAAGUUAGAUUUUAGAAAAUAAACCAGUCUACAAUAACGAUUCAAAA